AAGCUACAUUAGUCGCCAUGUAUUUCCAAAUUUUUUUUCUUGGAUUUCUCCUAUAAUUCUAUAAUACUUUUACUAAAAUUUUCCCUGAUUUUAAAAUACUAUUAAAAAGAAAAUGAUUUCCAGCCAUAUGUUCACCAUAAAGCCCAAAUUGAAUAUUACGUUGCUGUCCCCCAUUAAGCCCAAACCCAACCCAUUAUUAUUCUUUUAAAUGCCAACCCUUUCUUCUUCUUCAGACCUUCAGCAUAACUAACGCCAACCUCUCUCUCUUCUAAAGACAGAUUCAAUACUUUAGACCUUCGACUUUCUAACACCAACCUCUCUCUUCCGUCCUUUGUCUCUUCCUCUCCUUAUUUAAGUGAAUCACUCCUUCAUACCUCAUCACUAUCUCCCCUCCUUUUUCUCUUCUUAUCUUUCACGGUUUCAAAACUCCUCAUUUAAUUGAAUCAGAAAACAACAUAUUUGAAGAAGAGCUCAAAAGUACUGAUAGAAUGUGGAUUAUUCACUUCAGGUAUUUCACCUUUGUUCAUGUUUCGUUUGGGAGUGUUUCUUCUGAAUGAUUUGCUUAGAUUGAUGGGUUUGCAGCCCUGUAGUGGGUUUUGCUAAUUUCAAUUAUUGGACGCAUUGCUCUCUCUUUUGUAUUUCAAUAAUUCAAUCAACACUCCAUUUCCUAUCCAUAUCCUUUUGCGAGAGGCAAAUUGGUCCGACCAUAGGCCUAGGUUCAAGGCCACCGUCAACUUUAAUGCCAAGGAGUUGUUAGCUGCCUCCUUUGUACGAGCUGUCAAGUUCAUAUUGAUUUGCUGGAUGUGAAUGGUGAUGUGAGGGGACUUAGACAAAGAUAAUAGGCCACCUGUCUUCUAUCUCAAGCCUAGGGUGCACCAUCAUAAUGUUCAUGGCUUCCUACGACAAUUAUUCAAGUGGUCAUGCUUUGAAAGAUUUGCACCAGAUUGGUCAUCUUCCAAACAAUACGAAUGAGCAGUAAGUUCAUAUUGACCCCUUUUCAUCCAUGAAUGGAAUCUCUCGCUUCUGUGAAACUGAGUAUCCCUGGAGGAAGAUGGAAACUAGCUUCCCAUGAUACAAGAUUCUUCCUUACAGUACUACGUCUAGAUUGGUAUUUUGUGGGGUUUGUGCAGUUUAAUGAUUCAUUGUUUGUGGAAAUUGAAAUUGGGCAGCCGGUGGUUGUGGAUGAUCCUGAUGGGCCUUUCACUGUCAAGGCUUUUGAUGCCAACCACUGCCCUGCUAAAUACAGAUUUGAGGUCCCCACUGGAAGCAGAAGAAUAAACAGUAUGUUCAUAUGUAACAACAUAUCCGUGGUCUCAGCUCCAACCAUUCUCCAUCUUUUAUAAUGCUGUCAAUAGGGACUACAAGGACAAGCAAUAGUCUAUACAGUGUGGAAGUGAUCUGCUAGCACAUUUGAUUUCUGAGUAAGCUUAUUGGUAAGUGUUUUGCUAGUUGAUACCAGAAACAAUGACUAGCAUGCUUCUAGAUUGGAUAUGUGUUGUCAAUAAGCAAAAGCUUUCCACUAAAAGUAGAAGCCAGAGGAACAUGGAAGAUCCAAAUGGUGAAAGAUAAGAGUGGCAUAAAGAGUAGCUUUGUUUGAUGCUGUAUGCUGAGAGAGCAGAGAGAGAAGCUCUAAGUUAUUGCAUUUGAAGGAGUCAGUGAAGACCUUGCAUUUAUAGGAAGCACUUUUGGGUUGAGAAAAAUAUUUAACUGUCUUAUCAAAGGCUAAAAGCAUUCACUAUGGACUUUGAUUCUAGUUGUGAUUUAAUUUAGUAUAUGAGAAAACAUGAGGUCAGGAGCUGGCGUAAAAGGCCAGAUUUACGCCACCAAUCAGUGUUUGCCAUGUCAUACAUUUAAUGAAAAACCCAUACACCCUAUCACACACAAUUAUAUUUCUCACACACUUGUAUUAGAGAGCAGACUCUAUCAAACACGCCUAGACCUAUUCCAUCUACUCCUCUGCUCUUACCACCGGACCGGAGCUCCACCCCACUGCUGGCACCACCGCACUUGUCGUUCUGGAGCUAGCGCUACUGCACCUAACCUCAAGGCUGAAGUCCGUGGAAUCCAGCAGGAUGGCUUACACCUCCAAGCAAGAAGUCAAAAGUAUGGCAAGCUUGAGAGGGGUCAACUGCUCACAGUUCCUCCUUUAUCUAGUGAGGAGACGCAAGCAGCAUUUCCACCAUCUAGAACAGUGCGGAGUUGAGUUAAUACUCGGAUGUAAUGGAUUCAUUUGGGUUGGUGAACAUGUUGAAGCCAAAGAUGAUAUGGUAGAGGAUCAAGCAAGCAAACUUGAGCAACAGAAUAUUAAAUCUAAUAAAAAUUCCAUUAGUCUUGAAGAGCAAGAACAAAUAUAUUAAAUCUAAUAAAAAUUCCAUUAGUUUUGAAGAGCAAGAACAAACAUACACUCUGUUAGAGACAAGGCAGAGCAUAUGUAGGAUUGCAAAUGUUGUCCAGGUAUUAUCUAUUUUAGGCUUCAAUAUAGCCAUCGAAGUGAUCAUGGAUACCAUGAACCUGAGUAGCUCUCUGAAUCUUGAUAUACAUGAGAUGCUUGAUUCAGAGUUGUGUGUUCUGGUUGCAGAGGGAGAGGCUGAACGGUGAAGCUUGACUAAAAAGAUGGGAUGAUUAUAGCAUCCCUGUUAUGUGCUAAGUACUAACUGUUUAGAGAAGCAUCAACCUUCAUAUCCUCUUUUUUAUUGUCUUGAUUUUUUUGGGUUUUAGCCCUCUUUGUGUUUGGUUUUACCAUGAAUAUUGGGGAGCCUUUUGUUUUUUGGUCAAUUGUAAAGGACAAUUAUGUACUGUGAGCAGAAUUGCA